rnacentral:rRNA from 1 species
AGUGAACGCUGGCGGUAGGCCUAACACAUGCAAGUCGAACGGCAGCACAGUAAGAGCUUGCUCUUACGGGUGGCGCGUGGCGGACGGGUGAGGAAUACAUCGGACUCUACUUUUUCGUGGGGGAUAACGUAGGGAAACUUACGCUAAUACCGCAUACGACCUACGGGUGCAAGCAGGGGAUCUUCGGACCUUGCGCGAUUGAAUGAGCCGAUGUCGGAUUAGCUAGUUGGCGGGGUAAAGGCCCACCAAGGCGACGAUCCGUAGCUGGUCUGAGAGGAUGAGCAGCCACACUAGAACUGAGACACGCUCCAGACUCCUACGGGAGGCAGCAGUGGGGAAUAUUGGACAAUGGGCGCAAGCCUGAUCCAGCCAUACCGCGUGGGUGAAGAAGGCCUUCGGGUUGUAAAGCCCUUUUGUUGGGAAGGAAAAGCAGCAGGUUAAUACCCCGCUGUUCUGACGGUACCCAAAGAAUAAGCACCGGCUAACUUCGUG